rnacentral:ncRNA from 1 species
UUAUGUAGAGGUCGCGAUACUUAAGAGUAAUAAUAAUGAGGUAAGCACGAUGAUUUAUUAUGAAAGGAAUUAUCGCCGAAGAUUAUAACUGAUGCUUUAAGGUUAUAAGUCUGGGGAUGUAUAGAAUAUAUACAUAACUGUCACAUUAAUUUGUGUUGAGCUACAGG